GCAGCCGGCUCAGCUCGCCGUGGCUCGUCUUGUGUUUUUUUUACCCGCCAAAUACACUGGAUGCUGGGGUUAUAAAUUCUCCAGGACCAAAACAGCACCAACACUCGGAUAUAUAGAGAAACGGUUGGGAGGGGAGAGACGGGAGAGGGAGGGAAGAGGAGGGAGGCUGGAAACCCAGAUGCUCCAGCCUUAGAGGAGGGAUUUUACCUGGAGAUAACCUGCUCCAACAAGCUGCAGUUUCCAACGAGUCCACGCCACAUUAGCCCGUCUUCACACUCGUUCUUUUUUUUUUUUUGUCUUUCUCUCUCUCUCCAUAGCACAAUUUGGAUAGAGCCGAGCGCAGAGAGGCAGCCUUUAAUCAGGCUUUACGGGCUGAAAAGUGAGAGAAUCUAAACGUGACGUCAAUGCCUAGUAACUGACGCAGCCCUUCAACAUAAAAUGGCUUUUUAUUUAUUUUUUUCCCUUCCUCUCUUCUCGUCAGCAAAGCUUAAUUACUAAAAUUUACAGUGCUCCGUCAACUAAAGAAAAAAAAAAGGAAAGAAAAUCCCUGCAGGCAGCGCCGGGUAGUCCGUGUUGCUCACUAUUUGGACACAUUUAACGCUCAUGAGUUUCGUGUGCUGAAGUAAGACUGGGACCAGAAGCUUCUGAAGAGGGCGACAAGACAUCAGAUGUAGCCGAUAGUGGCGGUAGUGUCCAGAUUUGAGUUGUUAGGAAGGAAAGUGGCCUUUAAAGAACCAAAUGGACGUUUUUUCUAAAAACACUGCGAUGAUGCAACGGACGGGGAAUCGACGUUCUUGAGCAGAGUUGAAGAAGCAGACAGCAAAAAUUCAUUUAUAUUACAUGAUGCACUUCACGUAACGAUCCCGAGCGAUGCGUUCGUGAGUGUGCGUGUCUUUCUUUUUUUUUUACUGCUAAAAAUAGCAUCAUAGUUUUGAUCGUGUGCCAGAAAUAGACAGACGGGUAUCACUUUUGUGAAGAAAAAAAAGAGGCGAUCCAACUUGGACGUGCCACUUUUAGGACAAGGACGUGCCAGAUUCACGAAGACGAGUCGUGUUGGCAGAGAAGCGUUGGAAGAGGAGGAAGAAGCGGAGGGAGUGAAGGAGCUGUUGCAGCAGCAGCAGCAGCGGCAGCAGCAGAGAGCCAGGCGCACCGCAUGGGGAAACCCGGGAGCUGUCCAGCAGCAGUGUUUUUGAAACUACACCAAGUGGCAGUAGUGGGCUGUUGCUGUGCAUGCUUGAACACGCACGGCUCGUCGUGGAGCGGGGACUUGUGGACACUUUGAUGCUGCGGCUGAAGCCGCAGGAGGAGUCGUCCAGCUGCGCUGCGCGGAGAGAAAAGGUGACCGGCGUGUAGGAGGUUUUUGCACCGGGGACCGAAUGGCAGAGGGAUCCUCACUUUUUUUGUCCGCACCAUCCUGAAAAGAUAAAACUCCGCAGCUCCAAAGGAGUAUCAAGUUUGUGACCAGGGUCUGCGCAAAGCAAAACACAGACCUUGCUACAAUUUAUUGGUACAGCUCACUGUAUGGAUCCAAAAGGAAUCGUGGUGCAGUGACAGAAGUGAUGACUCCUAGAGGAAGGAUGAUAAAGGAGAAGAAGAACAUAAAGAGAAGGAUCAGAGGUCGUUGGCUUCAGCACAAAGAGCGGAGGAAGCUAAGAAGUUCUUAGCAGCUCAGCACAACCCAACACCUUCGUUUCCACCAGCGGUCGAAACUGAGACAGCCAACCCUGGACACCUUUAUCCUCUCUGCACUUGGAACCAGUGAGACAAGCCUGAUCUCGGCAUGGAAAGAUGCAGCAGUUUACGGUGGCUGGACCAUGGUGGCGGAGCAGCACUUUAUGUAG